AGUGUCGUCUUUCCACUA
rnacentral:snRNA from 1 species